UACGUAGGUGGCAAGCGUUGUCCGGAUUUAUUGGGUUUAAAGGGUGCGUAGGCGGCUUUGUAAGUCAGUGGUGAAAUAUGGCAGCUUAACUGUCAAGGUGCCAUUGAUACUGCGGAGCUUGAGUACAGAUGAGGUAGGCGGAAUUGACGGUGUAGCGGUGAAAUGCUUAGAUAUCGUCAAGAACACCUAUAGCGAAGGCAGCUUACUAGGCUGUAACUGACGCUGAGGCACGAAAGUGUGGGGAUCGAACAGG
rnacentral:rRNA from 1 species